UACGUAGGGGGCGAGCGUUGUCCGGAAUCAUUGGGCGUAAAGCGCGUGUAGGCGGUCCGGUAAGUCCGCUGUGAAAGUCGAGGGCUCAACCCUCGGAUGCCGGUGGAUACUGUCGGGCUUGAGUACGGAAGAGGCGAGUGGAAUUCCUGGUGUAGCGGUGAAAUGCGCAGAUAUCAGGAGGAACACCAAUUGCGAAGGCAGCUCGCUGGGACGUUACUGACGCUGAGACGCGAAAGCGUGGGGAGCAAACAGG
rnacentral:rRNA from 1 species